rnacentral:rRNA from 1 species
GCAGUCGAGGGGCAGCAUAUAGAUUGCUUGCAAUUUAUGAUGGCGACCGGCGCACGGGUGAGUAACGCGUAUCCAACCUACCCAUUACUAGGGAAUAACCCAGCGAAAGUUGGCCUAAUGCCCUAUGUAGUCGUUUGAUCGCCUGAGAUUUCGACGAAAGAUUUAUCGGUAUUGGAUGGGGAUGCGUCUGAUUAGCUUGUUGGCGGGGUAAAGGCCCACCAAGGCAACGAUCAGUAGGGGUUCUGAGAGGAAGGUCCCCCACAUUGGAACUGAGACACGGUCCAAACUCCUACGGGAGGCAGCAGUGAGGAAUAUUGGUCAAUGGGCGAGAGCCUGAACCAGCCAAGUAGCGUGCAGGAUGACGGCCCUAUGGGUUGUAAACUGCUUUUAUAUGGGAAUAAAGUGAGGGACGUGUCCCUUAUUGCAUGUACCAUACGAAUAAGGACCGGCUAAUUCCGUGCCAGCAGCCGCGGUAAUACGGAAGGUCCAGGCGUUAUCCGGAUUUAUUGGGUUUAAAGGGAGCGUAGGCUGUUUGUUAAGCGUGUUGUGAAAUGUAGGAGCUCAACUUUUAGAUUGCAGCGCGAACUGGCAGACUUGAGUGCGCACAACGUAGGCGGAAUUCAUGGUGUAGCGGUGAAAUGCUUAGAUAUCAUGACGAACUCCGAUUGCGAAGGCAGCUUACGGGAGCGCAACUGACG